rnacentral:rRNA from 1 species
AUGAACGCUAGCUACAGGCUUAACACAUGCAAGUCGAGGGGCAGCAUGAACUUAGCUUGCUAAGUUUGAUGGCGACCGGCGCACGGGUGAGUAACACGUAUCCAACCUGCCGAUGACUCGGGGAUAGCCUUUCGAAAGAAAGAUUAAUACCCGAUGGCAUAGUUCUUCCGCAUGGUAGAACUAUUAAAGAAUUUCGGUCAUCGAUGGGGAUGCGUUCCAUUAGGUUGUUGGCGGGGUAACGGCCCACCAAGCCUUCGAUGGAUAGGGGUUCUGAGAGGAAGGUCCCCCACAUUGGAACUGAGACACGGUCCAAACUCCUACGGGAGGCAGCAGUGAGGAAUAUUGGUCAAUGGACGAGAGUCUGAACCAGCCAAGUAGCGUGAAGGAUGACUGCCCUAUGGGUUGUAAACUUCUUUUAUACGGGAAUAAAGUGAGGCACGUGUGCCUUUUUGUAUGUACCGUAUGAAUAAGGAUCGGCUAACUCCGUGCCAGCAGCCGCGGUAAUACGGAGGAUCCGAGCGUUAUCCGGAUUUAUUGGGUUUAAAGGGAGCGUAGGCGGACGCUUAAGUCAGUUGUGAAAGUUUGCGGCUCAACCGUAAAAUUGCAGUUGAUACUGGGUGUCUUGAGUACAGUAGAGGCAGGCGGAAUUCGUGGUGUAGCGGUGAAAUGCUUAGAUAUCACGAAGAACUCCGAUUGCGAAGGCAGCUUGCUGGACUGUAACUGACGCUGAUGCUCGAAAGUGUGGGUAUCAAACAGGAUUAGAUACCCUGGUAGUCCACACAGUAAACGAUGAAUACUCGCUGUUUGCGAUAUACAGUAAGCGGCCAAGCGAAAGCGUUAAGUAUUCCACCUGGGGAGUACGCCGGCAACGGUGAAACUCAAAGGAAUUGACGGGGGCCCGCACAAGCAGUGGAGUAUGUGGUUUAAUUCGACGCAACGCGAAGAACCUUACCAGGUCUUGACAUCCUACUAACGAGAUAGAGAUAUGUUAGGUGCCCUUCGGGGAAAGUAGAGACAGGUGGUGCAUGGUUGUCGUCAGCUCGUGUCGUGAGAUGUUGGGUUAAGUCCCGCAACGAGCGCAACCCUUAUGUUUAGUUGCUACGCAAGAGCACUCUAGACAGACUGCCGUUGACAAAACGGAGGAAGGUGGGGAUGACGUCAAAUCAUCAUGCCCUUUAUGUCUUGGGCUACACACGUACUACAAUGGGUGUAACAGAGGGAAGCAACACAGCGAUGUGAAGCGAAACCCAAAAAGCACCCCCAGUUCGGAUUGAAGGCUGAAAUUCGCCUUCAUGAAGCCGGAAUUGCUAGUAAUGGCAGGUCAGCAUACUGCCGUGAAUACGUUCCCGGGCCUUGUACACACCGCCCGUCACACCAUGAGAGUUGGGGAUACCCGAAGCCUGUGAGCCAACAUAUCUAUGAGGCAGCAGUCGAAGGUAGAAUCAAUGAUUGGGGUG